GAUGAACGCUGGCGGCGUGCUUAACACAUGCAAGUCGAACGGAAAGGCUCCUGCUUGCAGGGGUACUCGAGUGGCGAACGGGUGAGUAACACGUGGGUGAUCUGCCCUGCACUUCGGGAUAAGCCUGGGAAACUGGGUCUAAUACCGGAUAGGACGAUGGUUUGGAUGCCAUUGUGGAAAGUUUUUCGGUGUGGGAUGAGCUCGCAGCCUAUCAGCUUGUUGGUGGGGUAAUGGCCUACCAAGGCGUCGACGGGUAGCCGGCCUGAGAGGGUGUACGGCCACAUUGGGACUGAGAUACGGCCCAGACUCCUACGGGAGGCAGCAGUGGGGAAUAUUGCACAAUGGGCGCAAGCCUGAUGCAGCGACGCCGCGUGGGGGAUGACGGCCUUCGGGUUGUAAACUCCUUUCGCUAGGGACGAAGCGCAAGUGACGGUACCUGGAGAAGAAGCACCGGCUAACUACGUG
rnacentral:rRNA from 1 species